rnacentral:rRNA from 1 species
UACGAAGGGGGCUAGCGUUGCUCGGAAUUACUGGGCGUAAAGGGCUCGUAGGCGGCCAACUAAGUCAGACGUGAAAUCCCUCAGCUUAACUGGGGAACUGCGUCUGAUACUGGAUGGCUUGGAUUCGGGAGAGGAAUGCGGAAUUCCAGGUGUAGCGGUGAAAUGCGUAGAUAUCUGGAGGAACACCGGUGGCGAAGGCGGCAUUCUGGACCGAUAUUGACGCUGAGGAGCGAAAGCCAGGGGAGCAAACGGG